GCUCGCGUUGAUUACGUCCCUGUCCUUUGUACACACCGCCCGUCGCUACUACCGAUUGAAUGGCUUAGUGAGGCCUCCGGAUUGGCUAUUGGGAGCUCGCGAGAGCAUCCGACUGCCGAGAAGUUGUACGAACUUGGUCAUUUAGAGGAAGUAAAAGUCGUAACAAGGUUUCCGUAGGAACCUGCGGAAGGAUCAUU
rnacentral:rRNA from 14 species